rnacentral:rRNA from 1 species
UACGAAGGGUCCAAGCGUUAUCCGGAUUUAUUGGGUUUAAAGGGUGCGUAGGCGGCUUAUUAAGUCAGUGGUGAAAGCCCGUAGCUUAACUACGGAACUGCCAUUGAUACUGAUGAGCUUGAAUAUACUUGAGGUUGGCGGAAUGUGUCAUGUAGCGGUGAAAUGCUUAGAUAUGACACAGAACACCGAUUGCGAAGGCAGCUAGCUAAAGUACAAUUGACGCUGAUGCACGAAAGCGUGGGGAGCAAACAGG